GGCGUUUUUGUGCCUGAGAGUGCUGCUAAGCUGGGCCACUAAGACAUGUAAAGAGAAGACAGCCCAUCAUGAUGACCAAAGUUGUCUAAUUGUUUCACCCAUGUGUUCAUAUCUAUCUUGUCUUACACUUAAAGUGUAAGCCUCUUGGGACAGGGACUGUCUUUUUGAUCUCUCUUUGUACAGCACCUAGCACUACAGUAAUACACAUUAUAAACUGGUACCUGUUAUUGGUGUAUGAGAGCCUGGGCUACUGCUGUUUUGAAUACACAAGAGAUGAUCUCCCUUAGUUCGUGAGGAAGAGAAAUAAGACAGUGUUGAAAUUCAGCAUUCUCUUGCCAGUGCCUCUUGACAAUGGGACAGUUUAAGAAUAUAUAUGGUCAGCUAUCUAAUACUAUGGUUCUCCAGCAUUCAACGGGAGUUGCCAUGGCCAUCAUGAAAAUGUCACAUCCGAAAUGGCCACCCCCACUAAUGGAAAGUCAGAUAAACGUCAUUAGGAUUCUUCAAGUGGUCUGUAAUGUUUGUAACUGGAGUACAGAUGUCCCAGGACCCAGAAGACCAAUAAAAGUGAUGCUUUGUUCCAAUAUGCAGUGGCCAGCUGGAACCACUGAAAGUUUUCAAUUGGACUUCCAUUAGUAGCCUACGGGAAAGUCAGUCUAAACUGUUGCCAAUGUUAUGACCCUAAGGGCUUGUCUACAUUACCUGCUGGAUCGACGGGCAGUGAUUGAUCCAGUGAGGGUAGAUUUAUCGACUGCCGAGUGCUCUCCCCUUGACUCCGGUACUCCACCAGAGCGAGAGGCGCAGGAAGUAGAUCUAAGUAUGUCGACUUCAGCUACGUUAUUCAUGUAGCUGAAGUUGCUUAACUUAGCUCGAUCUCCACCCCGAGUGUAGACCAGGCCUAAGUCUGGACCGAGUGAGCCUGUGCAGAGGGGAAUGCAUUUCCGUGGUGUGUGAGGUGAUUCCUGUUUAUCCAUUACCUACUUCAAGUGCUUUGAAGAAGGGUGCUGCAAAUGUACAUUGUUAAUAUUGUGACCACCCCAAAAUCCAUGCAGCCCUGCACUCCUGUUUAUUAGACAGUGUCAACAUUAGCAUAGUCUCAAGAGUUUUCUCAUAUGUAGACUGUCAUUUCCUCAUGUCUUUAGAAUGAAUAACUCAGUGAUGUCGCCAGAUGCUUUUGCUGCUGUUCCUAAUCAGAAUAUUUUUCAUUAUAUCUGCAUAACUGAAAACAAAUGGUGAGACUAUACAUGGGAAAGUGGCCUGAGAAAACUGAAGAUCAAAGAAAGGUCUUGGCUCAAUGGACUCUAUAUCCUGAGAGUUCCUGCUGCAUUUCCUCUCUUUAGCUCCCUCACACAAAACUGCAUAUUGUGGCUUGUACUGUCUUUAUUUUUUAAAAAAAUCUGAAGCAAUUUUGCUUUUUCCAAACAGCAGGGGGGGAGGGGCGGAAAUCCCUUGUUCCAACCUAAAGUGUUGCCUUUGGUUAGUGUUCAUUAUGUCCUUCAGUGUGGUCAUUUGUCCAACAGCCUGAGAAUGCUGGCAGGCUGAGUGGAAAAAAGAGUGCAAAGUCCUUGCACCUAGCUCCCUCAGUGGAAAGGACUGACAUGAACUGCUUCAGCCCUUGCCAAUCACAGCUUCUCACUGUGCUGUCUCGAGGGCUUGUCUACCCUUUACAAUCCAAACCUAAAGGUCACUCAGUGUUGUUCACCUCAACAGCAUAUUGGUUUCAGAGAGAUCUUUGUCCAAAGGCAGGACAAAGUGCCACUUCCAUUACUCUGACAGAUCUGAAUGUCUGCUGUCUUUCCAGUACCUUGGAGAAAGGUGAUCCAUAAUUAUAUUAUCAUGAGUGAGAAUUUGGUCCCCUUGUCACGAGACCUCUUUGAGGAUAACGUGGCUUGUCACAGACCCAGUUUUGCCACAAGGUUCAUCAGCUACAAGGUUUCUUUCCCAUUACGAAGCAAGAUUAUGAAAAGGAAAGAAGUGAUCUUACCUGGGUAGAAUGGAUGUUAUUUUUCUACCAGCAGAGUUAACAGGAAGAAGGGAGGUCACACAUUGCUGGGAGAAAUUGUGGAAAGUCAUAACUUAUGUUGUUGGCUGGCUAACCUGACCUAUACUCUUAGAUGAAGCUGUCUUGGUUGUGUCUUAAAAAAGCUUUAUGUGUAAUGUGCCAAAUAGUUCUAUUUCACACUCUUUGCCCCUCUUCUCCCUCUGAAUAAUUGUUACUGAGAAUGAGAUGAUGGAUAUAACUGAAUGACAAGAGGGAAAAAACACUUAAUUUGGAGAUUUCUUCCCCAUCACUUAAUAUAAGACGAUAGUGCAAUCAUUGUCAAGAAUUACUUCAUACUGUUUACAAAAUAAAAGUCAAACCAUAACAAAGAAAACAGACGAAAGAAAAAAAGAAAAGGAAUGAGAGAGAGGAAGGGAAGAAUGCGGGAAAUGGGCUGCUACUCUACAAUAUUGCUAUAGAUUCAUCUCAGAAUCUCACAGCACUCCAUAGACAAGAAAUGGUUGAGCAAGUAUUAGCCCCAUUUAGUAGAGGGAGAUUGAUUUUAUAAUUAUCCAUAGUAUUGGGAGAAAGGAGAAAUAACCCUUUGCUAGAGGCUACUUAUGUGACCCCAGGCAGGUCACUUCACUUCUUUGUGCUUCAGUUUCACAGGUUUAAGACAGGACUCAUGAACUGUUGGGGAACUUAAUUCAAUUAAUAUUUGUUCAAAAUGCCUUGAAAUCCUUAUAUGGAAAGUGCUUUAGAAGUACAAAGUUCAUUGAAACCUGAAGAGAACACCCCAGUAGGUAAACACCCACUGUCUAAAGAGACUGCUCCAAGUAAUUUAACGUUCAUUAUAAUCAUUUAUUUUUAUGUCAAAGGGGUAGUUGAAGGAAUGUACACGACUGAGAAGCCAAUUAGGUAUACAAAAUCUACAUCGAGUUAUACAAGUAAAUGCUGCAAGCAGGAAGUAGCACAGGGCUAUUAAUAGUCUAUUAUUCCAAUAGUAGGAGGAAAGCAAGCCAAUACUCAGUGUAAUAAAUCAAUUUGUAAGCAGUUCGCAGGGAGUAAUUCACAAGGGCCAGUUAACAGACAGAACUUGGUAUUGCAUCAUUAUAACUAAGCACUUAAGAUGUUAGGGGAGAAUAUGUCAUAUUUCCCUGGAUGGCCAGAAUUGUUUUAUGUUGUUUUAAUUCAGGGCUGAGAUGUAUCUUGCUUUUAUGUGGACUACAAAAACUACAUAGGGGGUUUUUCUACCUAGAAUUUAUCUACACAUACAUAUUUUUUUUAAUUAAACAAUGCAAGUUUGCACACAGACACUGUUAUUUCAAUUUGGGCAGUUUACUGCAUUUACUUUAAUCUACGUAAACCAAAACAAAUAACUUUAACAGAAAUAAGAGUGUGUACACACAAACUUGCAUUGAUUUAGCUACGUCAGUUGAAAAACACACCUUUAGUUCAACAUGUAAUAGACAAGCCCCUAGAUAUCAAGGGUGAAAUCCUGACCCCAUUGAAGUCAAUGUGAGGGUUGCCAUUGACUUUAAUGGCACCAGGAUUUCAUCCCAGGCCUAGAUAGUACAAUGAUGAGAGGUCUAGAUAUGUUCUAAGAAGAAUAAACACACAAGUCGUGAGAUCAGAAUGUUUGUUUGGGGGAUAGCUUGUUAUUUAAACUGUUUUCAGUAUAAGUUAAAAUAUUUAUAUUGGUUUUGUUUUUUGUUUCUUUUUUAAACUAAAUCUAAAUUUUGCGCUGUUUGCCCUUUUUACUGGUCACCUGGCUUACUUGUAUCAUGUACUGAACAUUCUGUGUUCAAAAAUUUCUGCUAUUCCUAAUUAGAGAUAUUAUAGAUAUGGAUGACAUUUUUCAAAAGAAACCCAGAUUUUUAAAAGUAUCACACUUAAAGAUGCAAAUAGGCAUCUAGUGGGAUUUCAAAAGCACCUAGGUGCUUCACUCCCAUGGGAUAAAUCUUAAAUACCCUUAAAUAUCUGGCCCAUAAGAGUAUAAGUCUCAAUGAGAUUUGGCUCCUAAUUCACUUUGGCCCUCUUAAAAUUUGUUACACAUAUUCCUAUGAGAUUAAGAGGUACCCAGAGACAGAACAAUUAUUGCAGUAACCGAACCCAUAGUCUUCUUUCAGUGAUGACAGCAUCCUAUAUGUCUCACCAUCGAUUGCAGAUAACAGUCCUUCCCAGAAACAACUAUUUGCAGUACUGUUUCUAGUGGUGGAGCCCCAUCUCAAUUAAGCAGAAUUCAGGAGUGUGCUCAUGGAUAAUGCCAUAACACAUUGCUGUUGCACAAUAUAAUCAGGUACUACAAGUGAUGAACAGGUGGGUUGUUAAUAACAGACUCAUCAGACUGGAAGCUGUGCCAUGCCCUGUUGUAGGCAAACUGUAGUCCUACAGGCAGAUUGCAGUCCUCACAGACACAGAUUGAUGGAAACUGUGUCUGCAGGGAUAGUUCAAUAUUUUAAAGCACUACUAUGAAGUCCUUAAGGUCCUGAAAUGUCUCUUACCUUAAAUACCAUGGGCAAUAUUCUGCUCUCCUUUAUGUAAGUGUGCACCUAGAAUAACCCCAUUAAGUUAAGUGGAUUUACAAAGAAAUAAAUUGAGAGUAAUUUACAGCAGAAUUCGAUAAUAAAUGAUCUAAGGGAACAGUUCAUAAAAAGCUCAUUGUCUAAAAAUGAUUUGUUCAAAAU